CCUGAGUAGCUGGGAUUACAGAUUUAUAGGAGCAUUGUGACUGGACCAAGGACAAAGAAGUUCCCAACCUCCUCAGACCCUCGCUGCUGCCCAGAUGUCUGCCAUGGGGUGGCCAUCAUCGAAUCCACUGAGGGCGCAAAUAGAACAAAAAGGUGAAGAAAAGGUGAAUUCUCUCCUUUCUUGAGCUGGGACAUCCAACUUCUCAGACAUCAGAGCUCCUGGAGGCCUUCAGACUCCGAGACAUUACACCAUUGGCUCACCUGGUCCUCAGGUCUUUGGACUUGGAAUGAAUUACACCAUUGGCUUUCCAGGUCUUCCAGCUUGCAGAUGGCAGAUUGUGGGACUUUUCAGCCUCCAUAACUUUGUCAUCCAAUUCCCAUAAUAAAUCGCCUCUUAUAUCUGUAUCUGUUUGGUUCUGU
rnacentral:lncRNA from 1 species